rnacentral:rRNA from 1 species
GUAUAUGGCCACACCACUCUGAACGUGCCCGAUCUCUUCCGAUCCUGGAAGCGAGGCAGGGUCAGGCCUUGUUAACACUUAGAAGGGAGAACGCAAACCACAGAGACCCAGAUCUGAAUCUU